GUGAUUGCUUGGCAGCACAUAUGCUAAAACUGUAAUGAUACAGAGAAGAUUAGCAUGGUAGCAUGGCCCCUGCUUUUUUUUUCUAUUUAAUAGCCUUUUAUUU
rnacentral:snRNA from 1 species